rnacentral:rRNA from 1 species
UACGGAGGGUGCAAGCGUUGUCCGGAUUUAUUGGGUUUAAAGGGUGCGUAGGCGGCUUUUUAAGUCAGUGGUGAAAUCCUACAGCUUAACUGUAGAACAGCCAUUGAUACUGAAGAGCUUGAGUACAGACGAGGUAGGCGGAAUUUAUGGUGUAGCGGUGAAAUGCAUAGAUACCAUAAAGAACUCCUAUUGCGAAGGCAGCUUACUAGGCUGUAACUGACGCUGAGGCACGAAAGCGUGGGGAUCAAACAGG